AUGUGGGCUAUGGGGCCAUAUGGGAUGUGGGGCCAUAUGGGAUAUGAGGCCAUAUGGGAUGUGAGAUAUGGGGUCAUAGGGGAUAUGGGAUGUGGGCUAUGGGGCAAUGAGGGCUAUGGGGCCAUAUGGGAUGUGGGCUAUGGGGCCAUAUGGGGUGUGGGGCCAUAUGGGAUACGGGGCCAUAUGGGAUGUGGGUCCAUAUGGGGUAAUGGGAUAUGGGGUAUGGGGCCAUAUGUGAUAUGGGGCCAUAUGGGUUACGGGGCCAUAUGGAAUGUGGAGCCAUAUGGGGUGUGGGAUACGGGAUAUGGAAUAUGGGGCCAUAUAGGGCCAUAUUGGGUAUGGGAUAUGGGAUAUGGGGCCAUAUGGGAUAUGGGGCCAUAUGGGGGUAUGGGAUGUGCGAUAUGGGGCCAUAUGGGAUGUGGGGCCAUAUGGGCUGUGGGGCCAUAUGGGCUUUGGGGCCAUAUGGGAUAUGGGAUAUGGGGCCAUAUGGGGUGUGGGGCCAUAUGGGAUGUGGGCUAUGGGGCCAUAUGGGGUAUGGGAUAUGGGAUAUGGGGCCAUAUAGGGCCAUAUGGGGGUAUGGGAUGUGGGAUAUGGGGCCAUAUGGGGUGUGGGGCCAUAUGGGAUGUGGGUUAUGGGGCAAUAUGGGCUAUGGGGUAUGGAAUACGGGAUAUGGGGCCAUAUAGGGCCAUAUGGGGGUAUGGGAUGUGGGAUAUGGGGCCAUAUGGGAUAUGGGGCCAUAUGGGGGUAUGGGAUGUGGGAUAUGGGGCCAUAUGGGAUGUGGAAUGUGGGCUAUGGGGCCAUAUAGGGCCAUAUGGGGUAUGGAAUAUGGGGCCAUAUAGGGCCAUAUGGGGUAUGGGCUAUGGAGUCAUAUAGGGCCAUGUGGGGGUAUGGGAUGUGGGCUAUGGGGCAAUAUGGGAUGUGGGGCCAUAUGGCAUGUGGGCUAUGGGGCCAUAUGGGCUAUGGGGCCAUAUGGGAUGUGGGAUAUGGGGCCAUAUGGGCUAUGGGGCCAUAUGGGCUAUGGGGCCAUAUGGGAUGUGGGGGCAUAUGGGAUGUGGGCUAUAUGGGAUGUGGGCUAUGGAGCCAUACGGGCUAUGGGGCCAUAUGGGAUAUGGGACCAUAUAGGGCCAUAUGGGGAUGUGGGCUAUGGGGCCAUAGGGGAUAUGGGCUAUGGGGUCAUAUGUGAUGUGGGUUAUGGGGCCAUAGGGGAUAUGGGGCCUAUAGGGCCAUAUGGGGUAUGGAAUAUGGGGCCAUAUAGGGCCAUAUGGGGUAUGGGCUAUGGAGCCAUAUAGGGCCAUGUGGGGGUAUGGGAUGUGGGCUAUGGGGCCAUAUGGGAUGUGGGGCCAUAUGGGAUGUGGGAUAUGGGGCCAUAUAGGGCCAUAUGGGAUGUGGGCUAUGGGGCCAUCGGCGCCAUGGGGUUAUAUGGGGUGUGUGGCUGUGGGGACAGACGGUCACGUGACCACGGCAGCAGCCUUGGGGUGGGGGAGGGGUUUGUUGGGG
rnacentral:lncRNA from 7 species